GCCUGGGUGGCUCAGUUGGUUAAGCGUCUGCCUUUGGCUCAGGUUAUGACCCCCAGGGUCCUGGAUCAAGCCCUGGCCUAGGCU
rnacentral:tRNA from 1 species